CUCUUUGAAGAUGGGGUCAGGCCACAAGCCAAGGAACGGAGGCAGCCUCUUGAACCUGAAAAAGGCAAGAAAAUGGAUUCUCCCCUAGUGCCUUCAGAAGGAACGUGGACAAGCAGAACUGUUCAAAAGAAGAGGCUGUUCUAAGAAAGACUACCGAGUAAUCAAUCACCUCCUCAGAGAAAGUCUGCUCAGGGACCAGCUCUGUGAACACGGCAAGUAACAACAGAGAGAAAACGUGAGGAGAAAAGAGAGACCGGGAUUUUGAAAUCCUGUUUCCUGAAUGCCAUCUCACCAGGCACACGAAAGAAUAAAAUUAAGGAAUCAAGAGCC
rnacentral:lncRNA from 10 species